AACGAACGCUGGCGGCAGGCCUAACACAUGCAAGUCGAACGGGACCUUCGGGUCUGGUGGCGGACGGGUGAGUAACGCGUGGGAACGUGCCCUUUGGUUCGGAAUAGCCUCGGGAAACUGGGGGUAAUACCGGAUACGGUCGAGAGACGAAAAGAUUUAUCGCCGAAGGAUCGGCCCGCGUUGGAUUAGGUAGUUGGUGGGGGUAAAGGCCUACCAAGCCGACGAUCCAUAGCUGGUUUGAGAGGAUGAUCAGCCACACUGGGACUGAGACACGGCCCAGACUCCUAC
rnacentral:rRNA from 1 species